GACUGCUGGAGGAGAAGGAUGCAUGCUGCUAGCUCCUGCAGAGGGAGGGCCUGCAAGCCAGGAUCUGGGAGUCAGUCAAGCCGAGGCACUACCUGAGACCCUGAUGGAGGAUGUCCCGGGGGAGGAACAGACCGGAGGACCCCCACUGUAGAUGAACUGGUAUUCAUGAUCCAGGGAUGGAGCCAACCUCCUCAGGGACAAUGAAUCGAUCAAUGCACAAUGGAAGGAAUAUUUUGAAGACCUCCUGAAUUGUGACUCCAAUGUUGAUGAAAGCAUCUUUUGACUUAAUCUUUCAACAUCCCACCAGCAAUGACCUAAGAAUCCCCCCCAACACUCAUCAAGGUGAAGAAAGCCAUCACACAGAUGAAGAACAAUGCAUCUGGACCUGAUGAAAUUUUCAAAGGAGGAGGAGGAGAACUGGUUCACCAGCUUCAUGCCCUAAUCUUUAAGAUUUGGAACUCAGAAGACAUCCCAGACAAUCUUAGGGAUGCCAUGAUUGUCAUCAUCUUCAAGAAAGGAGGCAAAUCAGAUUGUGGAAACUAUCAAGGAACCACCCUGUUGUCCACCGCUGGAAAGAUUCUUGUCAGAAUUAUCUUAACCAGCUGCUCCCUCUGGCAGAGGAAAUUCUCCAAGAAUUGCAGUGUGGCUUCAGACCAUCUCGAGGAACCGCCCACCACCUUCAAGAAAAGUGCCGCAAAAACCAUCAAUCUCUACAUGGCCUUCAUCAACAUCACAAAAGCAUUCAACUCCAUCAAUUGUGAGGCUCUGUGGAGAAUUAUCCUUAAAUUUGGAUGCCUGGCAAAAAAUUUUGUUGUUCUUCAACUCCUCCAUACCAGGGGCAUACGCUGGAAUUUAAUUUGACGGCUUUACACAUUAAACCAUAUCAACGCUG